AUUGAACGCUGGCGGCAGGCCUAACACAUGCAAGUCGAGCGAGCGGCGGACGGGUGAGUAAUGUAUGGGGAUCUGCCUGAUGGAGGGGGAUAACUACUGGAAACGGUAGCUAAUACCGCAUACCAUCAGAUGAACCCAGAUGGGAUUAGCUAGUAGGUGGGGUAACGGCUCACCUAGGCGACGAUCCCUAGCUGGUCUGAGAGGAUGAUCAGCCACACUGGAACUGAGACACGGCCCAGACUCCUACGGGAGGCAGCAGUGGGGAAUAUUGCACAAUGGGCGCAAGCCUGAUGCAGCCAUGCCGCGUGUGUGAAGAAGGCCUUCGGGUUGUAAAGUACUUUCAGUGGGGAGGCGUUACCCACAGAAGAAGCACCGGCUAACUCCGUGCCAGCAGCCGCGGUAAUAC
rnacentral:rRNA from 1 species